GGAUUGUGGCUCAGCGGUAGAGCACUCGCCCAGGACGGGUGAGGCUCUGGGUUCGAACCUCAUCACCA
rnacentral:tRNA from 1 species